AGCGAACGCUGGCGGCAAGCUUAACACAUGCAAGUCGAACGAGAUCUUCGGAUCUAGUGGCGGACGGGUGCGUAACACGUGGGAAUCUGCCUUUAGGUAAGGGAUAACUCAGGGAAACUUGAGCUAAUACCGUAUAAUGUCUUCGGACCAAAGAUUUAUCGCCUAAAGAUGAGCCCGCGGUGGAUUAGCUAGUUGGUGGG
rnacentral:rRNA from 1 species